rnacentral:rRNA from 1 species
UGAGAGCCUGAUCCAGCCAUCCCGCGUGAAGGACGACUGCCCUAUGGGUUGUAAACUUCUUUUAUACUGGGAUAAACCUACCCUCGUGAGGGUAGCUGAAGGUACAGUAUGAAUAAGCACCGGCUAACUCCGUGCCAGCAGCCGCGGUAAUACGGAGGGUGCAAGCGUUAUCCGGAUUUAUUGGGUUUAAAGGGUCCGUAGGCGGACUCGUAAGUCAGUGGUGAAAUCUCAUAGCUUAACUAUGAAACUGCCAUUGAUACUGCGGGUCUUGAGUAAAGUAGAAGUGGCUGGAAUAAGUAGUGUAGCGGUGAAAUGCAUAGAUAUUACUUAGAACACCAAUUGCGAAGGCAGGUCACUAUGUUUUAACUGACGCUGAUGGACGAAAGCGUGGGGAGCGAACAGGAUUAGAUACCCUGGUAGUCCACGCCGUAAACGAUGCUAACUCGUUUUUGGGUUUUCGGAUUCAGAGACUAAGCGAAAGUGAUAAGUUAGCCACCUGGGGAGUACGUUCGCAAGAAUGAAACUCAAAGGAAUUGACGGGGGCCCGCACAAGCGGUGGAUUAUGUGGUUUAAUUCGAUGAUACGCGAGGAACCUUACCAAGGCUUAAAUGGGAAUUGACAGGUUUAGAAAUAGAUCCUUCUUCGGACAAUUUUCAAGGUGCUGCAUGGUUGUCGUCAGCUCGUGCCGUGAGGUGUUAGGUUAAGUCCUGCAACGAGCGCAACCCCUGUCACUAGUUGCCAUCAUUCAGUUGGGGACUCUAGUGAGACUGCCUACGCAAGUAGAGAGGAAGGUGGGGAUGACGUCAAAUCAUCACGGCCCUUACGCCUUGGGCCACACACGUAAUACAAUGGCCGGUACAGAGGGCAGCUACUAUGCGAAUAGAUGCGAAUCUCGAAAGCCGGUCUCAGUUCGGAUUGGAGUCUG